GAUGAAGAACUCAGCGAAAUGCGAUAAGUAAUGUGAAUUGCAGAAUUCAGUGAAUCAUCGAAUCUUUGAACGCACAUUGCGCCCGCCAGUAUUCUGGCGGGCAUGCUUGUUCGAGCGUCAUUUCAACCAUCAAGCCCCAGGCUUGUGUUGGGGACCUGCGGCUGCCGCAGGCCCUGAAAACCAGUGGCGGGCUCGCUGUCACACCGGGCGUAGUAGAUUUUAUCUCGCUCAGGGCGUGCUGCGGGUUCCGGCCGUUAAAAAGCCUUUUUUACCCAAGGUUGACCUCGGAUCAGGUAGGAAGACCCGCUGAACUUAAGCAUAUCAAUAAGCGGAGGA
rnacentral:misc_RNA from 1 species